rnacentral:rRNA from 1 species
CCUACGGGGUGCAGCAGUAGGGAAUCUUUCACAAUGGGCGAAAGCCUGACGGAGCAACGCCGCGUGCAGGAUGAAGGCCUUCGGGUUGUAAACUGCUUUUAUAAGCGAGAAAUAUGAUGGCAACUUAUGAAUAAGGAUCGGCUAAAUACGUGCCAGCAGCCGCGGUAAUACGUAGGUGGCAAGCGUUAUCCGGAAUGACUGGGCGUAAAGGGUGCGUAGGUGGUUUAGUAAGUUGGCGGUGAAAUUCCGGGGCUCAACCUCGGUGCUACCGCCAAAACUAUUAGACUAGAGUGCAGGAGGGGUAAGUGGAAUUCCUAGUGUAGCGGUGGAAUGCGUAGAUAUUAGGAGGAACAUCAGGGGCGAAGGCGACUUACUGGACUGUGACUGACGCUGAGGCACGAAAGCGUGGGGAGCAAACAGGAUUAGAUACCCCUGUAGUC